GGACAGCAACAAUCCAAACAGACAAUGGAAGUAGAAGGGACAGUUUUGCUUAAUGAAGAGGAAUUGAUCAUAACUAGUGACUGAUUUGAUGUCAGGGGGAGAGAGAGAUGGAGAACCUAAAGAUGACCAGAAUUCUAACCAGGGCAGUGGAAAGUGGUGGUCUUGUUAACCAAGAAAAAGCCUGGAUUUAUAAGAUAUCUGAAAAUGCAGAAAAAGUCUGUUAUUCCUCGAUUUAGGGCCCAAAGCUCCAUCUAACUCAUGGCUUCACCAUCUUCAACAGGAAGCUUCCAGAGCCCAUUCAUUACACAAGAAGGAUGGAUGGUACUUGGGAGAAUUUAAUGAGCCAGGCCAAGAAGUGCUGCGCACCAUUCCCCAGCCAUGUUCUCGCAGCCAGAACUCCGAUACUUGGCCACACCUAGCCUCAAAAGAGGCUGAAAAAUGUAACCCAGCUGCCUAACCAGGAAGCAAAAGAGAGGAGAUGGAUAUUAGUUGGCUAGUCUCUGCCACAGCAGAUUACUUAACUUCUCUAUGUCUCUGAUUCAGCUUGUGUGAAAUGGGAAUAAUAAAAUUUUAAA